GAAAUAAUAAUAAAUAAGCUUCUAACUUAAUUUCAAGCAUUGUAUAUGUUUAUAUUUCU
rnacentral:tRNA from 1 species